CUGGCAGAGGUGGCAUGAAGAAGAAGACCACCCAUUUCGUAGAAGGUGGAGAUGCUGGCAACAGGGAAGACCAGAUCAACAGGCUUAUUAGAAGGAUGAACUAAGGUAUCUACUAUCGUUAUUUUUGUAAUCUGGUCAGUUAAUAAACAUCCAG